rnacentral:lncRNA from 1 species
AGAUGGUAAUGCAGUAUUAUUCCACAUGGGAUGUUCUUCAGGACAAGUUCCUCCCUGUUUUCAGGCCAGUUUAUUUUAUUCUCUAGGUCUGAUUGAAUUGAGAUUCAGACUCUUUGGAAGCCUCAGCAUUAAUUUUAAUUUUUCACCCUCCAUCUUGCUUAUUGUUGAAUAAAGAGUACUUCCCAUUAUGUCAUAGUGCUUUGAAUUAUUGCAAUUUUUAGUUCCUGUGGGUUUAAGAUAUGAAAGAGUGUCAAUACCACACAAUAGUGAAUCAUGCACUGCAACUUUCUCUCCAAUAGGUCUCCAAAUAACAUCUACUUUUCCCCAACAACUCCUAGUGCACUUCCCCCCUUCUCCCGGCAACAGUUAAAACAGAUCAUGCCCAUAAAGUUAACAGAAGGCCUCUCAUGCUUGUUAAGGUCCCACCAAUCAUGGAUUUCCUUGUUAUUAUUCAAACCUGAAGCAACCCAAGCAACGAAUCUGUGAUGACAGUGUGACUCAGGAAUCAGGUGAGGAUGAAUUUAUUCAGGUGUUUUUCUAAACUUUA